rnacentral:rRNA from 1 species
CUGGCGGCGCGCCUAAACAUGCAAGUCGAACGAGAAGCCCGGGCUUGCCCGGGUGGACAGUGGCGAACGGGUGAGUAACACGUGAGGAACCUGCCCCGAAGACCGGAACAACAUCGGGAAACCGUUGCUAAUACCGGAUGCCCUCGAAGAAUCGCAUGGUUCAUCGAGGAAAUGGAUUCCGCUUCGGGAUGGCCUCGCGGCCGAUCAGCUUGUUGGUGAGGUAAUGGCUCACCAAGGCUUCGACGGGUAGCUGGUCUGAGAGGAUGUCCAGCCACACUGGGACUGAGACACGGCCCAGACUCCUACGGGAGGCAGCAGUUAGGAAUCUUGCGCAAUGGACGAAAGUCUGACGCAGCGACGCCGCGUGCGGGAUGAAGGCCCUCGGGUUGUAAACCGCUUUCAGCAGGGACGAAAUUGACGGUACCUGCAGAAGAAGCCCCGGCCAACUACGUGCCAGCAGCCGCGGUAAUACGUAGGGGGCUAGCGUUGUCCGGAUUUAUUGGGCGUAAAGAGCUCGUAGGUGGUUCGGUAAGUCGGAUGUGAAAUCUCCAGGCUCAACCUGGAGGGGUCAUUCGAUACUGCCGUGACUAGAGUUCGGUAGAGGAGUGUGGAAUUCCUGGUGGAGCGGUGAAAUGCGCAGAGAUCA